UACGUAGGGGGCUAGCGUUGUCCGGAAUCAUUGGGCGUAAAGCGCGUGUAGGCGGUUCGGUAAGUCCGCUGUGAAAGUCGGGGGCUCAACCCUCGGAUGCCGGUGGAUACUGUCGGGCUUGAGUACGGAAGAGGCGAGUGGAAUUCCUGGUGUAGCGGUGAAAUGCGCAGAUAUCAGGAGGAACACCAAGUGCGAAGGCAGCUCGCUGGGACGUUACUGACGCUGAGACGCGAAAGCGUGGGGAGCAAACAGG
rnacentral:rRNA from 1 species